UCUGCCCUAGAUCGAGGAGGCGGACGCCGUCAGAUCCGCCAUGCCCACAGCUCUCUCUGCCCCACCCCAAACCCUACCCACAGCCGCCACCGUGCUCCGUCACUGGCGACCUCGCCGCCGCCGCCCCUCUCCCCUCGCCCUAUCUCCAUACCACACGCGGGGGAGGGAGGAAGGCCCCAAAUCGAAGCGAGCAGCAGCUUCCGGAUCCAGAUCGAGAGGGGCACACAUCGUCACCUACCUCCGCCCCUUGGCUCCUCUGUGUCGCCCUACCCCGCGGCUCCCGCGACGCCGAGCCGGACGGGAGGAGCCACCGCCCCACAGCACGCGCGCGCCGGUAGGGCGAGGGGAUCGAUGGCGAAGCUGUAUGUGCAGGCGGUGCCCCCGCCGGAUCUGAACAAGAACACCGACCUGGUUCAUGUACCCGGGGGUCUGGACCACCUACAUCUUCAUCCUCUUCGUCUCCUGGCUCCUCAUCCUCUCCAUCUUCGGCUGCACCCCCGGCAUGGCCUGGACGCUCGUCAACCUCGGCCACUUCGCGGUCAACCAUGAAUUCAACUUUGAUGCUGAAGCCCAAGGAGCAGGAGGUCCUGGUGCUGGAGGAUGCACAGGGGAAGACCCAUCUCAAGGGCCUCUCUAAGGUUCAUGUCAGGUCCAUUGAGGAUUUCGCGCAGUUGGGCUGUUUCGAUGAGAACCUGGACAAGCAGAAGGCCACCAAGGCUUCUUAUACCCGGCAGCAACCUACUAAACCCUCUUCUCACCUGCAGCCACCACCCCACGCACAAAUACCAGCUGGCAAAACAGUUGUCCAAUGGGCACCUCCACAUUCGUGCCUAUGUUCAGCAAUAUGUUUAGAAUUUGGAGCCUUGCACUUUGUAGAAGUUAGGCUUAGUAUUCCAAGAUAAACUGCAUUGCUGUUAGAUUCCAAAUAAGUGUCUUGAUUCCAAGAUUCACUUGUGCUGAUUGUCAGAUAGUGUUGGUAGAUUAUUUUGGUAACUUUAGGCCUUCAUUUUCUUAUCUUCCGUUGACACAAGCACUUUUAUCAUGUUAGUAACGUCUGUAAAUAGCAUGAUUACUGCCUAGCUGCUAUGUGCCUAUUUUCUCUAAAAAAACCGAGACAUGUUUGAGCUGACGCUGACUGAGAUAAUAUAGUAAUCAGUAAAAACUGAGACCUUCUUCAGUUUUAUAUGAAACUGUACUGCUAAUUGAGCGGCAACAUCACGGGAGUUAGCCGUUCUUGAGUUUCAUGAACUUGAUAUGAACAAAUUUGAUUAAGAAAUCCUGAUGCUUAUUCAUUUAACCUGAUGGUCUUAUAUUGUUAUGUGUCGCAUGCGCCAAACGCGUCCAGAGUCUUCUUUCCUCCAGCAGCCACUGAUCUACAGCUAGGCAAUGAAGUUCCCUAUAACUAAAAUGGUAGGAUGCACAAGUUUAUAAGUCAGGUUUGUUUAGUUUAGGUCUUCUGGAUGAAGCAUGGCAAGUAUAUUUUAUUAAUCUCCAGUAAUAAUUUAGGAUAAUCUCAAGUACAUUCAUUCAUGCGACAUUUUUCGAUUGUGGUGAUGAAUGAUGUUUGUUUCGCAUCUUUUGGCUUCAUUGAUGAGUGUUUGAUUCUCAUCUUCGAGCAGAGUUUGGUCCGAGCCAAGUUUACCUAUACUUGGUCAGCUCGGGCGGCUUCGCUAGCCCAGCCGCUAUUGUUUUUGCCCAUUUGUGUUGUUGCUUUAGUAGCAUCCUCUGCUUUCUUUUACGUAGCAACAGAGCACCACUCUUACCCUGCACUUCUCUCCAGAUUAUGCUACAAUUACAAAUUUACAAUGCAUUCAUGCAUGAGCAGUGCAUGUGUUGGCGUCCAUGAGAUCAGGAAUAGUUUGAACAAAUGAGCCGUAGGGUCUUUUUGGAACUCAUUGAUGCAUCAUAACUCAUUUGGAGAGCUACCUACUCAUUUGGAUGCAAUAUCAUGCUUGCUCUUUUGAAAUCGAUAAUGAUGCUCUGAAUGUUAGUUCUAUUACCAUUGUGGAUUAGCUUCUGCCCCUCAAAUGCUAUCGACAAGUUGCAUCCCUUGACUCCGUAGAUCAGUGGAAUUAUCAUAAGUAGUAUACAACCUGAGAUGUCCGAUUGUAUACAAACUGCACCUCAAAAUUGAUAUGUUCCAGGCUGUGUCUCUGAUUGCAAAUGUUUCUUCACUAUAAACUCUUCUACCUGUGAUAAGUGCAACUAGAAGAAUUUGUCCCAUAAAAAAAUCUGUAAUCCCUAUUAGCUGAAACUUGAGCAUUACAAAGUUUCAUUUCUAAGUUCAAUUUGUUGAUAAGACAUCCUCCUCCUAUUUCUGGGACUAUUUUAUGGUGUUGUUGAUAUACUUUGUGAUUUAUAGUUACUG